UACGGCACACCAUUUUAUGCCUUGUGGA
rnacentral:piRNA from 1 species